UUGAUUUGUGUUAGUUAUUGUUGAAUCUCAAAUUUUGGAGGAUUCAGGGUAUCUGAUAACCGAGUACAAACUUCACCCAAAUUUAUUGAAUCGAUUCGUUCAUUCUCAACUCCAAUUUGAUUACAGACAUUCAUUCAUGGUUCGGAUUAGUUAACCAAGUGACCCAUUAUGGACGUGUGAAAAAUAUAUUAGAACCAUUCGAACUAUUACUAAGUCCAAAAAGAGUAUUUUUCAUGGAUUUAUAUUCUUAAUUAUGUUUUAUUGAGUGCAUAGGAGCUGAUAAUCAAGAAAAUAUAACAUGGAGUUCGGAUUUUUAAACCGAGGAAAGCUACGUGUCUAUGAACAGACUCGUCCAAUAGAGGACUGGGAUACAUUGUAAGUGUAGUUUCUCAAUACCAGAAUGUGGCUCUGAUAGAUGGAAGAUCACACAUGUGGACCGAGAUUCCUAUCUGAGACUAAAAAACGAUAUGCAUCGGUAGAUGGAGAAAUAUUGGAGCAGCAUGGCUUUCGAACAAACAAUGUAUUUUAUUCAAGGAUAUGCCAAAUUGGUUGUUGUAAUGUACCAUAGCCGGCUCGUUAAGCUAUUAGGACAUCAUAACCUAGGUGCAAUUCCAAAUAUCCGUGUGUUUAGACUUAAACAGCGAAUGCCAAUGUGGACACUCGAUAUUUUCCAUAUGGUUACUAUUAAAAAUUUAGUUGCUGAAACAAUGUCAAGAAAUUCAAAAAAAAUGAGAUAUUACUGUGGAAGAAGAUGAUAUUUUGAAGGUGUUGAUAGGUAUAAACCUGAGCUGGGAAGAAUCACCUGGAAAAAAAUUGCAGAUGUAAAGAGACAGAAUAUCGUUUCUCCAACACUGUUGCACAUGAUGAAGGAUGGAGUUCUAAAAGAGACUAGCCCAAGGAGAUGGAGGAAUACAAAUCUAUUUAAAAGUCUUUGUAUCAAAUAUGUGGUGUGAUUAUAUACUAGGACAAAGUGAUAGUACGCAAGGAAUUGUCCCAGAUAUAGUACACAGGUCAUCAGGACACCUCAGCAAUGAUAUCUCAUGCGCCAUCAUGCAUGUUUUGUGAGGAAUUACAACAUGAUACGUUCGACUUAUAUAUACGACUUAUGUAAGUCAUAUAAUUAUAUUGCUCCUUCACAACCUAGAUGAUGUCCACCUAUAUUGUAGAAUGUCCUAGGAACACCAUUUGAAGCGAUUGUUGCCAAAUUUUAUGAGGUUACUUGUACUUCGUGGUUGCAGAAAGAGUGUUGGAAUGGACGGAUGUAUCCUUUUCAUCUGACUAUCAAGGAGUAAAGGGAUUGUUGGGAAACUUAAGGAGAUUCUUCGCCAAUUUGGAACUUCCUGAAGAAAUCUUAAGCAACAAUGGGACGGAAUUUGUAUCCUAUGAAACGGCAGAAGUUUUAAAAAAAUGGGGGUUCACCUAAUGCCUAUCCUAUGCUUAUUUUCAGCAGUCUGAUGGAAGAGCUGUGUGGCAAUUAACAAAAUCUAGAGAAUGCUGCAAGGCAACAUUGGUCAGAAUGGAACGUUGAACAUUGAUGAAUUUGUUAAGGCUAUAUUAACUGUGACAAAUACACAAGACACAAACAAAAAUAAGAAUGUUACACAUACACAAUAAUAUCUUACCUCGAUUAGAUAUAAAAGAGCAAAAAAAAAAUUAUACAGUUGACCCCAAAUGGCCAGAAGCGUAGGACGUAAAGGAAAAAGUGGUAAGAGCGAGUGCAAUAAGGAUGUAUGAAAGCUUAGUGGUAGGAUCUUAGAGAAUGGAACACUUGAGAAUAGAUGAACGUGUGAUCAUCCAGGACCAGUAUGGAACUCGACCAAAUAGAUGGGAUAGUUAGGGUGAAGUAGUGGAUGUUGGAAGAUAUUCGUUUCUGAAGAAACUGGUCUAUCCGUUAAGGGAUUCUGGGGAUGAUCGAACAAACAAUUAUAC
rnacentral:lncRNA from 1 species